rnacentral:tRNA from 1 species
GGAGAGAUGGCUCAGUGGUUAAGAGCGCUGGCUGUUCUUCCAGGGGACCUGGGUUUGAUUCCCAGCAUCCA